CUGGCUCAGGAUGAACGCUGGCGGCGUGCUUAACACAUGCAAGUCGAACGAAGCAACUAUCUUGCUUGCAAGAGAGUUGACUUAGUGGCGGACGGGUGAGUAACGCGUGGGUAACCUGCCUCAUACAGGGGGAUAACAGUUGGAAACGACUGCUAAGACCGCAUAACCCGCUAGUGUCGCAUGACACGGACGGAAAAUAUUUAUAGGUAUGAGAUGGGCCCGCGUCUGAUUAGCUAGUUGGUAAGGUAACGGCUUACCAAGGCGACGAUCAGUAGCCGACUUGAGAGAGUGAUCGGCCACAUUGGGACUGAGACACGGCCCAAACUCCUACGGGAGGCAGCAGUGGGGAAUAUUGGACAAUGGGGGAAACCCUGAUCCAGCGAACCGCCGCGUGAGUGAAGAAGUAUUUCGGUAUGUAAAGCUCUAUCAGCAGGGAAGAUAAUGACAGUACCUGACUAAGAAGCCCCGGCUAACUACGUGCCAGCAGCCGC
rnacentral:rRNA from 1 species